rnacentral:rRNA from 1 species
GACGAACGCUGGCGGCGUGCCUAAUACAUGCAAGUCGAACGCAGUGGGGACGGGUGAGUAACCCGUGGGUAACCUCCCCAUCAAAGGGGAUAACACUUGGAAACAGGUGCUAAACCGAUACUGAUGUAUGGACCCGCGGUGCAUUAGCUAGUUGGUGAGGUAACGGCUCACCAAGGCCACGAUGCAUAGCCGACCGUCGCGGGUGAUCGGCCACACUGUGACUUAGACACGGCCCAGACUCCUACGGGAUGCAGCAGUAGGGAAUCUUCGGCAAUGGACGAAAGUCUGACCGAGAAACGCCGCGUGAUUGAAGAAGGUUUUCGGAUCGUAAAACUCUGUUGUUAGAGAAGCGGUAUCUAACCAGAAAGCAACGGCUAACUACGUGCCAGCAGCCGCGGUAAUAC